GAUAGAACAUUAUACCUGGAACGGUUUAUGUUUCAAAUGAUUUAUCGCCGUAGGAUGGGACUGCGGCCUAUCAGUUUGUUGGUGAGGUAAUGGCCCACCAAGACUAUUACAGGUACGGGCUCUGAGAGGAGUAGCCCGGAGAUGGGUACUGAGACACGGACCCAGGCCCUAUGGGGCGCAGCAGGCGAGAAAACUUUGCAAUGUGCGAAAGCACGACAAGGUUAAUCCGAGUGGUUUCUGCUAAAGAAACCUUUUGCUAGUCCUAGAAACACUAGUGAAUAAGGGGUGGGCAAGUUCUGGUGUCAGCCGCCGCGGUAAAACCAGCACCUCAAGUGGUCAGGAUGAUUAUUGGGCCUAAAGCAUCCGUAGCUCGUUUUGUAAGUUUUCGGUUAAAUCCAUACGCUCAACGUAUGGGCUGCCGGGAAUACUGCAUAACUAGGAAGUGGGAGAGGUAGACGGUACUCGGUAGGAAGGGGUAAAAUCCUUUGAUCUAUUGAUGACCACCUGUGGCGAAGGCGGUCUACCAGAACACGUUCGACGGUGAGGGAUGAAAGCUGGGGGAGCAAACCGGAUUAGAUACCCGGGUAGUCCCAGCUGUAAACUAUGCAAACUCAGUGAUGCAUUGGCUUGUGGCCAAUGCAGUGCUGCAGGGAAGCCGUUAAGUUUGCCGCCUGGGAAGUACGUACGCAAGUAUGAAACUUAAAGGAAUUGGCGGGGGAGCACCACAAGGGGUGAAGCCUGCGGUUC
rnacentral:rRNA from 1 species